AAGCAUACUAUAUUAUAUGUUCACUAUAUAAAUCUACUCAUGUGGAGUCUAAUAAAAUUGGAUUUUUUUAUUUUUUGAUUUUCAUUGAUUUUCUAUAAUUUUUUAAAAAAAAUCCAGCUAAAAUAAAUAAAAGAAAGAAAAAGACAAAACUGCCUUCAAAUCUGCUUAUAACAGGGUUAGAGAGGUAAGAUGAACGGUUUUAAAAGUUGAGUGAGGUGUUUUAUCUGGUUUUGGAGUUUAGAGAAAAAAGGUAGACUUUCGCAAAAGUUGAGAAGGUAAUGUAGACUUUUUUCUUCUAUAAAUACGGACAAACAAACAUAUGAUCUUCCUCAUACUAGGCUACAUAAUAAUUACGAAAGUUAACAUCGAGUGACAGAGGCCAUAUCCACUAUGGAGUUUCUUCAUCGAGGAAGGGGGUCUCAUCAUCCCUCGUACCAACUAAAUAAUAUCUCAUGCAUUGCUACGAGUUUUAUAGUAUUGUAUAAAAGGACAAUUCAUAGAGUGAGAAAUAGUGACAUCCUAAAAGAAAAUAUGCAUAUGUUUAUUUGAAGCCCCCUUUGGAUUGCAGAAACUUUCCUCGUACGAUAUUAGAUUAGAUUAGAUGGCAUAUAAAGUGGUCCACGACGGUAAACGACUAAAAUUACUACCAGGAGCAGCAGAGUUUUGAUGAGGUUAUACCUAGAGAUGAUAGAAAACACUAGCGGCCAAGCUAGAGGAAAUUGAAAGGAGGUGCACAUAUUUUGUGGGUACAUAUACUUUUAUUGUGGAGCGUACAUAUAUGAUGAAAAUUUAGUGAUUAUAACUGAUUUUUAAAAUUUUGGAGGGGGGGUGCAUCUAUACCCCAGGUACACUGCAGCUUCGCCCCUGCAGAACACCAUUCGUCCAUGCAUAAUUACUUUUAUAUUCAUCUUUCCUCAAACAAAAAUGGAGAGAUAUUUCAUCAAGCAAAUAACAUGCAUAUGACUAUACGAUUAAGAAGUACUGCCUAUCUCUACAACUAAAAAUUAUGGAAAAGACUCAUCUACCACAUCUAUAGUGAAGCCACAACUACCUUUUUAGUGUACCAUGAUAGACUAUCCCAUCAACCCAGGUCCCACUCACUCAUGCAUGCAAAAUUAUUUUAGCGAAUUAAAAAAAGUCAUAACUCUUAAACCGAGUAUAUAAAUUAGAUUUUGAUUCCACCAUUAAAUUUCUUAUAACAAACCCUUUAAAACAAGAUCACACAUGGAUAUAUUUAGAUAAAAUUUUAUUAAUAAAUAUUUAUCUCUACAACUAAAAAUUAUGGAGAGAACCCAUCCACAACUCUCAUCCAUUUGGUGGUCUUUUUUACUACGCGAUGACACGCUAUCCCAUCAACCUAGGCCCCACUCAUCUAUGCAUUCAAAAUUGUUUUAGCGAAUUAAAAAAGUCAUAAUUCAUAAACCAAAUAUAUAAAUUAAAUUCCUAUUGCACCAUUAAAUUUCUUAUAACAAAUCCUUCAAAACAAGAUCACACAUGGAUAUGUUUAGAUAAAAUUUUAUUAAUCUCUAUCUCUACAACUAAAAAUUAUAUAGAAGACCCAUCUACCACAUCCAUGGUGAAGCCACAACUCCCCUUUUACUACGUCAUGAUAGACUAUUCCAUCCACCCAGGCCCCACUCAUCCAUGCAUGCAAAAUUGUUUUAGCGAAUUAAAAAAGUCAGAACUCUUAAACCGAAGAUAUAAAUUAAAUUUUGAUUGCACCAUUAAAUUUCUUAUAACAAAUUCUUUAAAACAAGAUCACACAUGGAUAUAUUUAUAUAAAAUUUUAUUAAUGAAUAUUUAUCUCUACAACUAAAUUAUGGAGAGGACCCGUCCACAACUUUCAUCCCUUUGGUGGUCUUUUUUACUGCGCGAUUACACGCUAUCCAAUCAACCUAGGCCCAACUCACCUAUGCAUGCAAAAUUAUUUUAGCGAAUUAAAAAGUCAUAACUCAUAAACCAAAGAUAUAAAUUAAAUUCCGAUUGCACCAUUAAAUUUCUUAUAAUAAAUUCUUCAAAACAAGAUCACACAUGGAUAUAUUUAGAUAAAAUUUUAUUAAUGAAUAUUUAUCUUAUAAAGAUAAAAUAUUUUCUUUUAUUAAGUAGAGACAAUAUUCUAGGUUCAACAGACAACGUUCUGUCUUUAUAAAAAAUGUUAUCGAUUUAGAAGAAUAGUAUUUUGGUUUUAAGUUUAUGAAACUGAUAUUACAAUAUACAUAAAAAUACAUAAAUACAUGGCAUAGAUAAAAAUAAUAAUAAAAUCUAGAGUAAAAAGCAUAAGAAAAAAAUAAAAACACAAAAUGGAGGAAAAUUUCAAAUAAUGUCAAAGGGUUACUUUUCAAAUAUUGUAAAUAUAUUUAUAGCACAUUAACAUCACUAAAUACAUCAUAGAACAUCAUUAAAUAUAUUAUAGAACAUCACAUCAUUAAAUAUAUCAUAGAACAUCGCACCAUAAGAAACAUCAUAGAACAUCACAUGUAUACUACGUAAACAUAACAUAACACAACACAGAACACUAAAUAUAUACUACAUAAAAAUCGCAUACAUAUAGAAAAUAAAAAAUAAAAAAUAAAAUUACUAAGAAGAAAAAUAUAAAAACAAACAUGAUUAACAAAUGAUGAAAAAUGCACAGAGCAAAUAAAAUAAAAUGAAUAUUUUAAAUAAGGAUAAAAAAAGAUUAAAAAGAAUUAAAAUAUAAAAUAAGAAUGAAGAAACAUAGAAAACCCAAAUAGAAAAAAGAAAAACAAAUAGAAGCAAAGAAGAACAAUAAAACUAAAACUAAAAGAAAAAGAAAAUAAAAGAUAAAAUUAAAACAAGAAAAGAAUAUGGAAAUGACAGGAAAUAAAAUAUAAUAAAAUCGAAAAAUGAAAACUGAAAAGAAAUAAAAAAAGAAUAUAGAUAAAAAAAUAACAAUGAAGAAACAUAGAGUACGUGAAUUUUAAAAUCCGUAACAACUACGGGGCAUUAACUUAGUGUACCAAUUAUAUUUAUAUACUUGAAAUCAGAGGCAGGGAGAGAAUCAAGGUAGCUCUCCAAUUCAGCGACGAUGAUGACAGCAUGCAGGAUGAGCUGCCGCGCUGGUGCUUAGCUAUCUGUAGCGGGCAGGCCACGAUGAAGAAUUCGACCAGGAGUCCAGAACUGCAGGAAUCUGCAAUGUAACGUGUGCAUGCCCGGAAAGAGGUGUUCACCGGUCUCCACCGUCUGCAUUAGCACAUUUCACGCAAAGCGAGGUACUUGUUAGGGUGCAAAUACACCCCCAAAUUUUAUAAAAACAGUGAUUUUGUCUGGAUUUUCACCAUAAUAUCAAAAUUCUAUGCACUUACAAAACAAUUACACCAUUUAUGAUUUGUUCUAACUUCGCCACGGUCAUACAACCAGGAUUUUAUAUUGACAAAUUGGAAGAAGAGCGGAUGAACAUGGUAGAAACUGAGAAGUCAUUAGUUGGAGACUUGCUUAUUGCUUGACCCUUCACUGACCUAAUCAAAUACUACUAUUAGGAAUACGUUUAUAUUAUUAAUAAGUGCCCUGUUGCUGCCCAGCAGGUAACCGAUGAAACUCGAACUUGAUGAGUGAACGUCAACGACGGCUGGCUGGGGAGACCCUUUGGCUUGCAGCUGCACUUGCGUGACUUGAAGGUUAGUGAGUUGCGGGACCUACUUGACAACAUGGCUUCACGAAAUCGCAAAAAAAUUUGCUAGUAGAUUUAUCCUAUUUAAGUAUUUACUAGCAAAUAUGCCCAUGCGUUGCAACGGAGGAAAAACAUCAAAUGACCCUAGAAAGUGAUGACAUAAUGUUACAUAUCUAUUUAUAUUUAUCCUUUUUAUAAAAUUUAAAGUCCAUAAUUUAUUUUAUUGAUAACAAUAACAUUUAUGGUAUUAGAUAGUUAAUAUUUACAAUAAUAUGUAGCUUGAAGACAUAUUUAUUUAAUAAUAAAAAUAGAAAUUAGUUAAACCUUAUCUCACUCUAAUAUUACCUCUUAAUAUACC
rnacentral:lncRNA from 1 species